rnacentral:rRNA from 1 species
GUGAGGAAUAUUGGUCAAUGGGCGGGAGUCUGAACCAGCCAAGUCGCGUGAAGGAAGAAGGAUCUAUGGUUCGUAAACUUCUUUUGCAGGGGAAUAAAGUGCAGGACGUGUCCUGUUUUGUAUGUACCCUGAGAAUAAGGAUCGGCUAACUCCGUGCCAGCAGCCGCGGUAAUCCGGAGGAUCCGAGCGUUAUCCGGAUUUAUUGGGUUUAAAGGGUGCGUAGGUGGUUUGAUAAGUCAGCGGUGAAAGUUUGCAGCUUAACUGUAAAAAUGCCGUUGAAACUGUCGGACUUGAGUGUAAAUGAGGUAGGCGGAAUGCGUGGUGUAGCGGUGAAAUGCAUAGAUAUCACGCAGAACUCCGAUUGCGAAGGCAGCUUACUAAGCUACAACUGACACUGAAGCACGAAAGCGUGGGGAUCAAACAGGAUUAGAAACCCGGGUAGUCC